GCGAUCUAGCCAAGUUAAGUAGAUUUGCUGUUCUCGGCUCAAACAGCGUAGAUAGCAUUCAGUCUUCAUCUGAACAUCGGUUCAGAAACUUGCGCGUUUCUAAUAAGUCGGCACGAUAAAUUCGAUACAGUUGCGUAGUUAAAGUUUACUGCAAAACAACAAAAAAGUGAUUGUGCAUAAAAAAAAGUUUUGUUUUUGUGUUGCAACUCGAGAACAAGGAAGCCUGUAAAAAAUUGAAAGUUAAACUUGAAACCAAAACUGCAAGUGUAGAUCGAGUUUUUAGCAGCUGGUAUUUUCCGCUUACUUAACAACGCACAGAAUUUAUGGACUUUUGCUUAUGUGCGUGCAUCUAUCAAUAAAGGCAAACAGUGGGAAAACGAAGCACAAACAGACAAUCAACCUAACUGCAUAGAUACCCGUGCACAUAAAUAUACAGUUAGGAGGAUAAUAAGAAUAGUUGGAAAAAAAAACGCUGCAAGCGACAGCAAACGGUAAUAGUAGCAGGCAACAGCCGUGGGCGAGUAGCAGUAUUCGGAAUUCAGCUCAAAAUUGAAUGAACAGCCAGUGGGCGUACUAAGAGCAGAAGACGUCGUCAACAACGACGACGACAGCAAGUCAAGGCGAGCACACGCGCUGCCACAACAAACACACACAGACACACACACGCGUGCACAUGCAAAUAAGUGCCAUUGAAUAGAUACAUUUCUUUUAUACAUAUGCUGUGCUUCAUAUGCUUAAAUCUGAAGGGACAAGAGUCAAUUCACAAUCGCCCUGAGGAAAGCGAAAGCGACAGUCCCACGCGUAAGCUAGUACAGAGAAAAGGAACGCUAUCCUUUUGAAUACAGCGCGUACUUUUCAUACUACGUACUAUUUUAAUACUUUGAUACGACAACAACAACAGCUAGUAGGUACAACAAUAAAUAGCGUGCAUUUUGAACAUUGCCAUAGCGCAGACAACUAUCACCAGCGCUAGUGUACAGCUGAAUUGGUCUGCUUAACAUCAAUUGUAACACUUGAAGAGACAAUAGACGCGCAGCGGAUAGUGAGGACGAAGAAGAAGCAGCAAAAGAAGAAGAAAAGUAGUAAAACAUAAGUCCCUAGCAGCAAGUGCAGGCAGUAGCGACCAAAUAAGAAGAGAGAGAGAGAGAGAGAAGGUGCAAGGCCAGAAGGCAAGACAGUAAGCAAUAACAACGAUAGUCAGCAACAUUGCAAGCGCAGCAGUUGCAGCGUUGAGCGCAAGGACGCUACAACCAUUGAAGGAGUAAAAAGAGUGGCGUAUUAACCAACCCAAAAGAAUUAUUGCGAUCUGCACGCAGUGGGAGCUCAAAGCCCGAAGCACGAAACAGUAAACGAAUAGUGGCAGUAGCGGUUAUAGAGCGAAGACCCUUCCGAUAGCUUCAUUGUUGCUUUAUACAUAUUUCAUUUUGUGUUUUUUUUUCAUUUUGUGUAGUUAGUUGUAUGAGUGUGGCAUAAACAUUGGCGGUGAAGCACUAACCAGAACAGCCAGAAGGAAAACGAAGAACAAGCAACGGCGACAACAAUAACGAAGCGGUAAAAGUUCGAGGAGCGCGCAAAAAAGGGGAACAAAACAGGCGCCGCCAAUAAGUUUGAGGACGAAGCAUAAAAAGCAGUUACACGAGUUGCCGAGGCAGAGCAAGACAUUCAACCGAAGUGGAGCAAUAAAAAAUAGCAAAACUGAAGAGGAAGAGGCCCGUACUUACGAAUUUAUAACAGUGAACGGCAAGUCGCCCACAUAACUCUGGUGUCUGUCGAUAAAGCCACCCAUCGCACUAGUAGAGGAAACAAGUCAGAACAGAAAAAAAAAGAUAAAAACCCAAAUAGUCAUUCCAGACGAACGCGUGCGCUAGCAUAUCAGCAGCAUAUAAGUAAAGCAGCACCGAAGGUCGCCGAAGUUAAGGAGCUGAGGAGCAUUGAACGCUGUGGACAGCAACAAACAUAACAACAAAUAUUCGAGGCAGGGGGUAUACGAUACGAUACAAAUACAUUUACAAUAGGACGCAUAUACGCACCAUACGCAUAUAUGUACAUAGAGUGUGUGGGUUACUCAUACGACACGACGCACGACAACUUGCCAGCAUUGUAACUAUAGGAGCGAAUGAGUUUACAUCGACAUUGUAUAAGUGGCUGUGUGUUUUUAUGCGUUGGUGUAGCAUAGAGUGCGACACUUUAAGAGCAAACGACAACAAAAACAAUAAGCGACAACAAAAAUAAAAACAACAACAAUAAGAAUUACCACCACAAUUCUAAAGAUAGCAAAUACAAAAACUGAAACAACACGAAAAACAGUAACAACAACAACAACAACAAAAUCUAACAACAAAAAAAUUCAAAAUAACAACAGCAGCGCCGACGACAACAGCACGCUGUGUACAAAAAAAAAAAAAA
rnacentral:misc_RNA from 1 species